rnacentral:rRNA from 1 species
AUUGAACGCUGGCGGCAUGCUUUACACAUGCAAGUCGAACGGUAACAGGCCUUCGGGUGCUGACGAGUGGCGAACGGGUGAGUAAUGCAUCGGAACGUACCCAGAGGUGGGGGAUAACGCAGCGAAAGCUGUGCUAAUACCGCAUGUGAUCUGAGGAUGAAAGCGGGGACCGGAUAGGAACGUUUGGCCUCCCCCCUUUGGAUACGCCCGGUGUCGAAUUGCCUGGUUGGUGGGGUAAAGGCCUACCAAGGCGACGAUCCGUAGCGGGUCUGAGAGGACGACCAGCCACACUGGGACUGAGACACGGCCCAGACUCCUACGGGAGGCAGCAGUGGGGAAUUUUGGACAAUGGGCGCAAGCCUGAUCCAGCAAUGCCGCGUGCGGGAAGAAGGCCUUCGGGUUGUAAACCGCUUUUGGCAGGAACGAAACGGUGUCCGCUAAUACCGGGCGCUAAUGACGGUACCUGCAGAAUAAGCACCGGCUAACUACGUG